rnacentral:rRNA from 1 species
CCUACGGGAGGCAGCAGUGGGGAAUAUUGGGCAAUGGGCGCAAGCCUGACCCAGCAACGCCGCGUGAAGGAAGAAGGCCCUCCGGUUGUUAACUUCUUUUUUUCGGGACGAAACAAAUGACGCUACCUCCUUAAUAAGCCACGUCUAACUACGUGCCAGCAGCAGCGGGAAUACGUAGGUGGCAAGCGUUGUCCGGAUUUACUGGGUGUAAAGGGUGUGCAGACGGGAAGAUAAGUCAGAUGUGAAAUCCCGCGGCUCAACCGCGGAACUGCAUUUGAAACUGUUUUUCUUGAGUACCGGAGAGGUCGUCGGAAUUCGUUGUGUAGCGGUGAAAUGCGUAGAUAUAAGGAAGAACCCCAGUGGCGAAGGCAGCUGACUGGACGGCAACUGACGGUGAGGCGCGAAAGCGUGGGGAGCAAACAGGAUUAGAUACCCCAGUAGUC